rnacentral:rRNA from 2 species
ACGGAGGAUGCGAGCGUUAUCCGGAUUCAUUGGGUUUAAAGGGUGCGUAGGCGGACUAUUAAGUCAGUGGUGAAAUCCUGCAGCUUAACUGCAGAACUGCCAUUGAUACUGAUAGCCUUGAGUUUGGUUAAGGUAGGCGGAAUGUGUAAUGUAGCGGUGAAAUGCUUAGAUAUUACACAGAACACCAAUUGCGUAGGCAGCUUACUGAGCCGACACUGACGCUGAGGCACGAAAGCGUGGGGAUCGAACAG